rnacentral:rRNA from 1 species
UCCAGACUCCUACGGGAGGCAGCAGUGGGGAAUAUUGCACAAUGGGGGGAACCCUGAUGCAGCGACGCCGCGUGAGUGAAGAAGUCUUUCGGUAUGUAAAGCUCUCUCAGCAGGGAAGAAAAACCGACCAUAGGGUCGCUAGACGGUACCUGAUUAAGAAGCCCCGGCUAACUACGUGCCAGCAGCCGCGGUAAUACGUAGGUGGCAAGCGUUGUCCGGAUUUACUGGGUGUAAAGGGCGUGUAGCCGGGCUGACAAGUCAGAUGUGAAAUUCCGGGGCUCAACCCCGGACCUGCAUUUGAAACUGUUGGUCUUGAGUAUCGGAGAGGCAGGCGGAAUUCCUAGUGUAGCGGUGAAAUGCGUAGAUAUUAGGAGGAACACCAGUGGCGAAGGCGGCCUGCUGGACGGCAACUGACGGUGAGGCGCGAAAGCGUGGGGAGCAAACAGGAUUAGAUACCCCAGUA